rnacentral:rRNA from 1 species
GGCGCGAAAACUUUACAAUGCUGGCAACAGCGAUAAGGGAACCUCGAGUGCCAGGUUACAAAUCUGGCUGUCGAGAUGCCUAAAAAGCAUUUCAUAGCAAGGGCCGGGCAAGACCGGUGCCAGCCGCCGCGGUAACACCGGCGGCUCGAGUGGUAACCGUUAUUAUUGGGUCUAAAGGGUCUGUAGCCGGCCGGAUAAGUCUCUUGAGAAAUCUGGCAGCUUAACUGUCAGGCUUUCAGGAGAUACUGUCUGGCUCGAGGCCGGGAGAGGUGAGAGGUACUUCAGGGGUAGGGGUGAAACCUUGUAAUCCUUGAAGGACCACCAGUGGCGAAGGCGUCUCACCAGAACGGACCUGACGGCAAGGGACGAAAGCUAGGGGCACGAACCG